rnacentral:rRNA from 1 species
UUUUGAAGAGUUUGAUCCUGGCUCAGAACGAACGCUGGCGGCGGGGUUUAGGCAUGCAAGUUGUGCGUGAAAGUCUUCGGAUGAGUAGCGCGGCGAAAGGGUGAGUAAUGGUUCGUUAACGUGCCCCUUGGACCCGGAUAAUUCCUGGAAACGGGUUGUAAAACGGGAUGGGACCGUUGCGCUUACGGGUGUUGCGGUGAAAGCGCAGGGAUCUUUCGGGACCUGCGGCCGAGGGAGCGGACGAGCCCCGAUUAGCUUGAUGGUGGGGUAAUGGCCUACCAUGGCGAUGAUCGGUAGCCGGCCUGAGAGGGUGUACGGCCACACUGGGACUGAGACACUGCCCAGACU